CAAGCCUGAUGCAGCGACGCCGCGUGCGGGAUGACGGCCUUCGGGUUGUAAACCGCUUUUGACUGGGAGCAAGCCCUUCGGGGUGAGUGUACCUUUCGAAUAAGCACCGGCUAACUACGUGCCAGCAGCCGCGGUAAUACGUAGGGUGCAAGCGUUAUCCGGAAUUAUUGGGCGUAAAGGGCUCGUAGGCGGUUCGUCGCGUCCGGUGUGAAAGUCCAUCGCUUAACGGUGGAUCCGCGCCGGGUACGGGCGGGCUUGAGUGCGGUAGGGGAGACUGGAAUUCCCGGUGUAACGGUGGAAUGUGUAGAUAUCGGGAAGAACACCAAUGGCGAAGGCAGGUCUCUGGGCCGUCACUGACGCUGAGGAGCGAAAGCGUGGGGAGCGAACAGGAUUAGAUACCCUGGUAGUCCACGCCGUAAACGGUGGAUGCUGGAUGUGGGGCCCGUUCCACGGGUUCCGUGUCGGAGCUAACGCGUUAAGCAUCCCGCCUGGGGAGUACGGCCGCAAGGCUAAAACUCAAAGAAAUUGACGGGGGCCCGCACAAGCGGCGGAGCAUGCGGAUUAAUUCGAUGCAACGCGAAGAACCUUACCUGGGCUUGACAUGUUCCCGACAGCCCCAGAGAUGGGGCCUCCCUUCGGGGCGGGUUGACAGGUGGUGCAUGGUCGUCGUCAGCUCGUGUCGUGAGAUGUUGGGUUAAGUCCCGCAACGAGCGCAACCCUUGCCCUGUGUUGCCAGCACGUCGUGGUGGGAACUCACGGGGGACCGCCGGGGUCAACUCGGAGGAAGGUGGGGAUGACGUCAGAUCAUCAUGCCCCUUACGUCCAGGGCUUCACGCAUGCUACAAUGGCCGGUACAACGGGAUGCGACCUCGUGAGGGGGAGCGGAUCCCUUAAAACCGGUCUCAGUUCGGAUUGGAGUCUGCAACCCGACUCCAUGAAGGCGGAGUCGCUAGUAAUCGCGGAUCAGCAAUGCCGCGGUGAAUACGUUCCCGGGCCUUGUACACACCGCCCGUCAAGUCAUGAAAGUGGGUAGCACCCGAAGCCGGUGGCCCAACCUUUUGGGGGGAGCCGUCUAAGGUGAGACUCGUGAUUGGGACUAAGUCGUAACAAGGUAGCCGUACCGGAAGGGGCGGCUG
rnacentral:rRNA from 1 species